rnacentral:rRNA from 1 species
UCCUACGGGGGGCAGCAGUGGGGGAUAUUGCACAAUGGGGGAAACCCUGAUGCAGCGACGCCGCGUGGGUGAAGAAGCGCCUCGGCGCGUAAAGCCCUGUCAGCAGGGAAGAAAAAAAUGACGGUACCUGAGUAAGAAGCCCCGGCUAACUACGUGCCAGCAGCCGCGGUAAUACGUAGGGGGCAAGCGUUAUCCGGAUUUACUGGGAGUAAAGGGGGCGCAGACGGCGAUGCAAGCCAGGAGUGAAGGCCCGGGGCCCAACCCCGGGACUGCUCUUG